CCUCCUCCACAUUCACCUCUGACCUCUUAUUGCUGCCCUGUAUGAUGCUCUUUUCCAACGUUGAUUUCAAUUUGCUUUAAGUGCAACGUUCUGGGAUGUUUUUUUUUUUUUUUCCGGCAUUUGCAAGAUCCCAAGGCCCUUCAUCUCUGAAUAUUUUUUCCUUCAAUGGAAAAAUAUAAUCUCCUUUGUUUACCUCCCUUCAUCAUGCCAUUUGCAAAACUGUUCUUUGCAUGGCCCUUAACUGGCUUUGGCAAGGCCUUGCUCAUUGCAUUCAUGACAAAUGCAAAUAUCUUAAAUUACCAACAUGAACAACUGCAAUAGAUAUUCUUAUGUAUAUUCAUAUAUAGUAUUUCUAUUCAUAUAUAUACAAACAUAAAUCACAUAUUUUAUGCGUCUACUCACAGGUGUCAAAUUCAAGGCCCAGAUUGGGCCCACCACAUCACAAUAGUUUGCCCGCUGAAGCAAAUUAUCUCUAUUCAAAAUAUUAAUCAAUUGAUUUAUUGUACUGAUUAUAAUCCCCAAAGGGGAAUUCAAUUUACACUCUGCUUUUUAUUCAUGCUUCUUUUUAUAAAUCUGAACCAAAAUUGCCAAUUGCCUUCACUUUUUAUAACACUGAGGUAUUUUACAAUUGAACAAUGAUUAACAGGCUAUUUGCCUUGACUUAAAAGUGAUUAUCCAUCAAUCUUUUGUCCAUAUGUAAAUAAUAUUGUGAGGCCGCUGGAAACCAUAACGACAAUGUGGCAUGCAACAAAAUUGAUUUGACAUCUGUGGUCUCCGUGGUCAUGAGACGGUAAUGAAGAAAGGUAGCAAGUUAGCUCAAAGUGAAGUCACGUAUUUCAAAGCAGCUCAAGAAACCAUCUCAAACUAUCUCUUCAAAAAAAUA